GACGAACCGUACGAACGUUAUUCGGAAUUACUGGGCUUAAAGGGUGCGUAGGCGGCGCAGUAAGUUGGGUGUGAAAUCCCUCGGCUUAACCGAGGAAUUGCGCCCAAAACUACUGUGCUCGAGGGAGAUAGAGGUGAGCGGAACUUAGGGUGGAGCGGUGAAAUGCGUUGAUAUCCUAAGGAACACCGGUGGCGAAAGCGGCUCACUGGAUCUCUUCUGACGCUGAGGCACGAAAGCCAGGGUAGCAAACGGG
rnacentral:rRNA from 1 species